rnacentral:rRNA from 1 species
UACGUAGGGUGCGAGCGUUAAUCGGAAUUACUGGGCGUAAAGCGUGCGCAGGCGGUUUUGUAAGCCAGAUGUGAAAUCCCCGGGCUUAACCUGGGAAUGGCAUUUGGGACUGCAAGGCUGGAGUGUGGCAGAGGAGACUGGAAUUCCUGGUGUAGCGGUGAAAUGCGCAGAUAUCAGGAGGAACACCGGUGGCGAAGGCGGGGUCUCUGGGGCCGAAUACUGACGUGAGGAGCGAAAAGCGUGGGGGAGCGAACAGG